UUUACCUAACUCUGUUCAAGUUCUGAGUUUUAUUCAGCCACUAACUCGCCUCUCUGUCCUGAGUCAUUCGUGGAAGCUGACUGCUGGUCUCCUGUUUUCUGAUCCUGUUUUGCAAAAUAAACCUUUUAACUUUUCACUUUGUGUUUAGCUGAAUUUGGGUCCUCUGUCUCUGGUUGUAAUAAAGGCAGGCUUACCAAUCCAGGGGUUAGGCAAAAACUCUGAAGUCAGGGAACAGAAACAGGGUCGCUGUCCAGAAAUCAGAAACUUUGCAAGAAUCUGGCAAGGGCAAGGCAAGGCAGGAGAACCCGUGACUGCACAAAAGUGAGGUCAAAUCAUGGAGAUCACGCAAGGGCAUGGAAAGAACACUGACUGCUGCAAAUCAGAGCAGAUGGGUGUGGCAACGGCAGAGAGCAGCCAGGCACAAAUACUGGCAUAUAAACUUCAUCAGCCCUGAUAAUGUAAUUGUAUGUGCUGUUAAUGGGAACAGAGUGUGUUGUUAAAACAAAUCUUAAUUACCAAAGAGAGAUGGUCUUCAUUCAGUCAGCUUUUAUUAAUAACCUUGCAAGAUAAGCUCAGAGGGAUUUGCUGUACAACCUCCUUGGAACGACUCCUGGCAGCAGGGCAAUCAUAUGGGUCAUGUGCAUUAGAAGUCAAUGGGUCCGGAUUAACAAGAUGUGCAGAGAAAAUGCAAUGAAUACCCCCUUCCCCUACCAUCCUCUAACAUUUACGGUAAAUACACGCCCUGAUCACACCUGGUUUCCCCAUGGAAAAAAAAGAAAAAACUGAUUCCUGGUUCUGCCUCUGUGAAAGAUUUUCAUCACCUGACCACAUGAACUCUCUUGCUGUGGGGCAACGUAUCUGAAAGCAUUUGAAGAACUUUGAAGAAAAGAAACACGGACAUUGUUUGCUGAGGAGGGAUUUGUAUUAUUUAUUCAUGGACAUUUAAAUACAAAAAAAAACACUGAAACAUGAUAUUGUGUGGAUGGUCUUAUGUGUAAAAAAAUAAUAAUUGUCAUUCUCUUAGCUAAAGGAUUUGCACCUUGUAGUGCAUGGUCCUUGUGUAACUGGUUACAUAAAAAAAAAAAACUCUAUAAAAAUCCUACUUGUCAGGAGGGAUACCUGGCUGGCACCCCUAUAAAAAAAAUAAAAAAAUAAACUCACAAACAAAAUUUAGACAAACCUGUAAAACCGUCACAGGAAAACUGGAACCCCAGAUGGGACUCUUUCAAUAAUAGAGAAUUACAAAUGCAUUUUGAGCACUGAGACAAAAAAUAAGUAAAUAAAAAAAACAAAAUGAGCACAGAAACACAUUAAUCUGAGCACACUCCAAUCACCACACCCACCCCCAAUGGUGAUGCCCCCUACUCGCUUCACAGCCUCCUCUAGGGGUUCAAACAGAGACACAGGCUGCACUAGGAGUUUCGGGUAAUGGAGCUAAAAGCUACCAUGGAGGAUAUAAAGUAUUAUUAAAUGGGAGAUGAGCAAUAUGAGAGACACCACCAAUCUGAGCUGCUCAAAGAAUUCAACUUGCUAUUGGCUCCAGUUACUGCCAGUAUUUCUUUAAGUUUCUCGCCUGCAGGGGAAGCUCUCAGACUAUUAAACCUCAAUGAAAUCGAUGACAGAGGAAAUUACAGCCAGUUCAGACCUGUCAACAGACCACAAUAAUGGAUCUAACUGCACAAUCUACCAUGAUACACCAGUAGCAACAACAAUAACACUUACCAGCAAGCCUCAGUUGGAAUCAACUGCUCGGCCUGAGAUGACAAGGGUCCAAAUAGCCUCUUAACAGGAGUCGGGAUCUGGGGAAAAGUCCUGUGAAACUGUUGCUUCCAACUUAUGGAAAAAUUGAAGACACCCACGAUCCUCUGCAGUACCUGGAAUGUUGUGAGGAUUAUUUGGCCCUGAACUCAUUAACUGAUAAGGAACUCAUGGCAACCUUAAGGAAUGUGUUGCACGGCACUGCCAGUGACUGGUGGGAUGUAGCCAGACACAAGGUGCAUACCUGGGCUGAUUUUCAAAGGCAGUUUCUGGCCACUUUUCCCCUGGAGGAUUAUGAAGAUGAGCUGGCUGAACAAGUAAGGACCAGUGUCCAAGGAGAGAAUGAAAGCAUCAGGGAUUUUACAUACAUGUACAAAUCACUAUGCGGAUGUUGGAAACCACAGAUUGAGGAGGAGGACAUCAUCAAAUUGAUUUUGAAAAACACAAAACCCACAUUGGCCAGCCAGCGGAUGAGCUUGUUCGUCUGGGACAGCAGUUGGAAAGAGAUCGAGACAACCAACAGUACGAAAGCAGAAAACAAGCAAAUAUACCAUCUAAGCCAACUGAACACAGGCCUCCUAACCAUGACAACACAGUGUGGUCAAGACACCCAAAUUACAACCAAAGUCACAAUUGCCCACCUCAACCAUUGCAGCCUGCCCACAUGUUGGUACAAAUUGAACAUAUUUGCCUCCAGCCCCUCCUCAGCAGGCUAGCAGUUCAUCACACAUCCAGGCAGGCCCAAGCCCAGCCACUCUUGGUUCUCUCACAAACUCUGGACUGUCUGGUGAAACCUGUCCUACUGCCUCGUCUCCUGCUAAUUGUGGUCUACAUGACUGGAAAGGCACUAUAUAAGUUCAGUCCAUUUAAUUCUCUGCUUUGACAGUUAGUGGUUCCCAUCAGCAUCAGUCCCUGGAAAGGAGCUGCCAUCUUGGAGACUGGUUUGUCUUAUACCCUGGUGAUUGAGAGUGUAUGGAAUAAAAUCAAUGGAGUGAUCAAACCUUGGACCAGAGGACCCUUAUAUUUGACAUAUGGAAAAGGACGGAAUAAUUCUCUACAAGAGUUUGUAUUGUGCCCAAGUGAACCCCAUCAGCAGCUUGCCUUUUUCUCAGCGGUUGCUCCCGCCAAUCUGGUUGCCCUCAGGCCAAGUGAUGAACUCCUGCAGAAAGCAGUCAGCAGUGCUCACCUGGAUGAUUUUGGGAAGCAGUUAUAUAUAUACCAACUGCGUAAUAAUUCUGAUGUUUAUAACACCGAACUGGGUUGUAUCAACGAACUCACUCACGAGAUCUAUCUCUCUCAUGAUGUGCCGAUCAAACAAAAACCAUAUAGAGUUUCACCUGUUAAACUCCAGAUCAUUAAGGAGCAUGUGGAAGAAAUGCUGGAGAAAGAUAUCAUUGAGCCAUCCACAUCACCAUAUGCCGCUCCGUUUGUCUUGCUGCUUAAAAACAUUAUCCCAAACUAUGUUUUUGUGUUGAUUUCCGGAAACUUAAUGCAGCCACUGUGGAAGCUCAAAGCUUUGUUUGGUAGAUUAAAAGUGUUACUAUUGUUUUUACCAUAUGUGAAAAUCAAUUCUGUGUAGAUUGUUCUGGGCAUAUGGAAACAGUCCCUCUGAGCAACAUGCAAGGCCUGUCUGGGAACAAGUUGGAUAAGGAAAAGUUCUUGGCAUAAGGAAAGAUUAAUGGACCUGUUAUUGUAGAAGCAAACUUGUGGGCUGGAUAGAAACAGUCCGGCUGGGAAGAAGUAUGAUAUCUUGAAUCCUGCCAGGUCACUUUGACAUUAGAGUUCAGUGUGCCAGAAAAAUGUGCGUAAAUGGAAAGGGUACAUCUGAUUGGUCAAAACUUUCACAUACACAACAAUGACAUGGCUCUUUUAUAUAUAUAUAUAUAUCCUGACUCGUGUCAGGGAUUUGGGAUUCUUUGGGUUUUUGUUUUAUGAAGAUGUAUCCGGAGAUGUGUUCUGAAUAAAAGGUCCACUGGUCGGCUUUGAGAGGAAA